GGAUUUUUCCCAGGAGUGCAGACCCAAGUGUUAGAGUCAGCCAUAGAGCACUUGGGUCUACAGUAAGCCCUUUAAUGAUGCUACUGCCACCGUGGUAGGACAUCAAGCCACUAAAUGUUCUCCAUUCUCUUUCAGGCCAGGGUCUACUAGAUGGAGCGCUGUGGUCCUUUUCCAGAGAAGAAAAGUUUCACUGCUUGAAGAGAGCACAUAAAGCCGGCAUCAGGAAUACUGAAACGGAAUCUGCAGUGUCCUUGGCUACACGUAGAAAUUGUGAUCUAAAAGGUAAGUUAUUCAUGAAAGCCUCAGGUCCAAUUCUCCUUUUCAUGAAGUUAUUUUCACUCUGCAGGAGAAGAAAAAGGAAUCCAACUAUAUACUACUUGGGGUUGAACGCAUGCCUUAUAAUUGUUUAUAAUAUGAUCAUAAUGUCUUAUGAGAGGGCAGAACAUUGUUCUCAUUAUGCAAAUAAGGAAACCAAGCCUCAGGGGUUAAAAAGGGGUUGCCCAAGGUCAUGAAGGUUAUGUAGUCAGGACUUCACAGCAAGUUCCACUUUCUUGAUCCUGGUAGUGGCUGCUGUUUGCUGUUACAAUUUAAUUUAUCAAGACACAAUAAAAAUAAAAUAUUCCUAAAACUGUUCAAAGGACAAAGCAUCAGUGGAGUAGGUUUUUAAAAUUAAUUUACAUGCAUUUUUGCUUUUCCCAACUUUUUUAUUUUGAAAACUUUUAAUAAUUCAGAAAAAUUGAAAAAAAAAUAGUAUAAUACCUAUCUAUACUUUACAAAGAUUGAACAGUUUUUAAUAUUUUGCCACAUUUAUGCAUGCUUUCUAAAUAUAUAUAUAUAUACACAUAUAUAUGUAUAUACAUGUGUGAAAAUAUAGGUAUACACACAUCUAUUUGCUUUUUUCCCUGGUUCAUUUGUUAAUGAAUUGCAAACAUCAUGCCAGUUAUCUCUUAUACCUCAGCAUCAUUUCCUAAGAAUAAAGGUAUUCUCGUAAUGACCAAAAUACCAUUAUCAAAAAAAAACCCCAAAAACCUAAGGAAAGUAAAAGUAGCUUCAUAAUAUCACUUAGUAUCCAUUCCAUAUUUAAAUUUCCCUAAUUUUCCUAAAAUAUCUUUUAUAGAUUUUUUUCUUACCCAUUAUCAAGGUAACUUCAUACAUUGUAUUACCUGGUUGUUAUAUCUCUGUUCUAGAAGAGUUUCCCCUACUUUUCUUUUUUUUCCUACAACAAUGGAUUUUUUAACGCAUCAAGGCUAUUAUCUUGUUAAACAUACCAUGUUCUAGAUUUGUCUGUGUGUUUCAUCAUGGAGUCUCACUUGUUCAUCUCUACUGCAAAUUUCCUGUAGGUGGAAGUGAAGUCUAGUGGCCUCACUAGAUUCAGCCUUAUGGCAAGAACACUUGAUGGUAAUGUAAGCUUUGUAGUGUACCACCUCAGGGAGAUGUAAUGUGAAGAUGUCCCACUAUUAGUCAUUUCAAGUUGGAGCACUUGGUCCAAGGGGUAACUUCCAUCACUUUCCAUGGAGAAGUGAAAGUUCCCUCUUUGUGUGGAACAAGCAACCUCUGUGAUGACUAUGUGGCACGGCAUGAACACCCAGUAACCCAACUGUCUUUUACUAAUGAUUUUAGCAUGGGUUGCAAAAUGGUGAUUUUUCAAUUCCAUCGUUCCCUCUACAUUUAAUAGCUGGAAUUCUACUUUAAGAAAAGUUUUUCUUCAUCACAUUCUUUCUCCCUCGCUCUCUUUUUUGGUCGUGGAGGGUAGUUACUAUUGUUUUGUGACUCUUGUUCAAAUCAAUGUGUUAUAAAUGGUUUCUGUCAUUAUUGUCUUUGAUACUCAAAUUAUCUCAAAUUUGGCCAGGCCAGUGGAAUUGGCAGUACACCUGGAGAGUCUAGUGUCCUGGAAUUCAGAGAAGCAAACUUCAAAGAACACGUAAAGAAUUAUAGCAUGUUAAUGUCUUUUAAUCACAAGUGGAAUUUUAAUUGCAACGGUUGUCCUUAUAAUCAGUCAAUUUUAAUAUAUAAAACUACAGGGGUGCCCUGGUGGCUCAGUCGGUUGAGCGUCCGGCUUCGGCUCAAGUCAUGAUCUUGUGGUUGGUGGGUUCGAGCCCCUUGUCAGACUCUGUGCUGACAGCUCAGAGCCUGGAGCCUGCUUCGGAUUCUGUCUCUCUCUCUUUCUCUCUCUCUAUCUCUCUCUCUCUGCCCCUCCCUGGCUCAUGCUCUCUCUCUCUCUCAGAAAUAAACAUCAAAAAAUUUAUAAAAAUAUAUGUAUAUAUCCAAUUCUAUAAACAAAAUAUAUAUGGUAAAAUUUCCAAAAAUACAUGUUAGAAAGAAGUCGUAGUUCAUAAGAAGAGAUUAAUUGUAGAACCACUAGGCUUAACUACUCCCAUCUCUCAGAAUUCAUGUCCAUGCAGAUCCUUGUAGUAUAUGGGUGAAGAAUGCAAACGAAUCCUUAUCCUCUUUCGAAGGUCAUCAUUAAUACCCCCUUUCAGAGAAACAACAGCAUCUGCUUUUCUCCCCACAAGUUAGUGAGAGUGAGAGCCACAGGUGGUGGCAGCUUGACCUUGACCUGAACAACAGUCCCAUCAGCACACAGCCUGUAGGAACACCCAGAUUUAGAUAUUUCUGCUCCAAGAAAUGCCUCCUCACAUUUCUUUAUUAUAGAAACAAGUGGUCACCUGAGCCACGGCCCCACAUAGUAUGCAAAUGGAGAAUUUGGUAUCCAGUUAACUUAGAAGGAAAAAAAAAUGCCUACUGACAAACGUGUUGCCCUGAUGUCAGUUUGGUGAUGACCAUCAGUUCUUUCCUAAGAGGCAUCAAUUGGCAACCAGGGAGAGUUCUCAGCUUGUGAACCCUGGACCCUGGUCUUUCUCUCUUUAAGGACGUUGCCAAGCCCUCAGAGAAGUGAUUCUGUUAUGAGGGAUCUUUCUGUCCUUGCUGCAAGUCCUUGUGACCUUGCUCUCUCUGCCGCCUGCAGGCACCCUCCUGGACUCCUUCCUCCCUUAUUUCCUGUAGUUCCUGAUGCCCUGCAGCAUUUGCCUUUUCCCCACGGCUGGAUGCCGGAGCUGUUGGUAGCUGACUUCAGCCCGCUAGCAGCUCUCUCCCAAGCCACUCCUGCAGCUCUUUCAGGGAGCAAACCUCUUCCAGACUGCCAACCUUCACGCUAAAGGUUGCAGCUGUGAUUCUAACACUGUAGUUCUUGGGAGUAUCUCGGUCUAAAAUUCUUCGAGGUGACGAGGACUCACCUCCUUCAGACACCCCUGUUUUCAAAGGUGAAUUCCUGGUACAGGGCCCCCUGGAAGAUCAACCACCAGGACACAGACCCAAACUCCAUGCGUACAAUGCUACCAUGUUCGACCUUGCAUCACUGCUUCCUAACAUCAGUUCGCCACAGCAGUGAAGCUCUGAAAAAACUCUGUGAGCUAGAAAAACUUGCUUGGGGGGAAGGCUGAGGGAGGCUUCACAAGCAGCUGCUUUAACACGGAGAAAGGGAGGGAGAAUAUAUCAGUGGUAAACGACAUGGGAAAAUGUAUUUCACCUGGCUCAAACAGCUCAGGGCCCAUGGGCUAGGGUUGACUUCCCAGACCUAUUCUCUCUUUCCCACCAUUCUGCUCCCACUGUUAGUAAUGGCCAAUACCACUCUGUCCCCCCAGAUCACCUUCUCUAAUGGUCUUUUCUGUCCUCUUAAUAUUACCAGAUGACUGGAUAACUAAUCUGACUUCAUACUAAGGUCAUGAUGGCCAUGGCUUCAACUUAUAAAUAACUUUUUGUUAAAACAAGGGUCUUCUAGAAGCCAUUGUUCUAAUUCAGAGGAGUCACUCGCUGAAUUUGGACUGAUGCAAAAUGGAUCUUUCUGCAUCCCCCUGGGACAAGGAGGUCUUGGGUCCACACGGAUUACCACUUCUUAUUUUGAUGAUUAAUAUCAGAUCUCAUCACAAAUCUCACUUCACUGGGAAGCCUUGCCUGUAGGAUGACCUCAACUCAACUCACUCACCCAUUGUUCUUCUGGUUUCUUUACCUAUUAACUUAUAUAUUAUUUUACAUAUAUUAAUGCAUGAAGGUAUGUACUUAGCAUCUCUCUCCAUUAGAAAUAUAAGCACCAUGAGAACAGGGACCUUGUUUGUAAUUUUCUUGCUAUAUCCCCAGCGCUUAGAAUAAUACCUGCCUUAUGGGCCUUCAAUAAGUAUUUGCUAAAUGAACAAACACAUGAAUGAAAGCAAUGACCUUUAACUCUCAUUUGCCAUGAAAGAUGGCUAUGGCAAAUCCAUCUGGUUCCUUCAUUCCCUGGCUACAUUAAUGACUCGGGAGAAUGGCCUAAAGGACCUUAGGGCACCUCCAAACUGUCCUCAUAGGAAGAGGCAAAGCCUUAGAGUUAAGCCUUCCUUUGCAGUAAAGUUCAUACAAUAACGCUGCUGUAUCUCUAGCCCCGGGAUCCUUUGAUGUUUGAUAGGCGUACAACCUGCUUGAAAUGUGGCCACAGACACCCAUAAGUCACUGUUGUUAUCUUGAUCUCAUUAUCCCGAAAAAGAACAGUGGAAAUCCAACGUUGUGUUAACAAAGAUUAGGGUGAAGGGAAAUAGUGGCACUCACAGAAUUAUUCUCCAUCGAAAGGCUAAACCUUCAGAAUAACGUAAAUCCACUAUAUAGUGCAUAAAUGAAUUCACCCAUGAUUUUGUAAUAUGCAUACAUCUGUCCCUCCCUUAAAGCAAAAUCUACUUUAAUUAAACCCCUAACAUUCUGAUUAAAGAUGAUAAUCCUUUUGCACUGUGAACUUGUGAUAAGUACGUUCAAUUUGUAUCCAUUUUUAAAAGACAGUGCUGCCUUUUGACACACGCUUGCAUGGCAAUACGUGAAACCUAACGUUUAUCUAAGAUUAAGUUCUGCUUAAAUCCUCUUCUUUGUCUUUAACUGUUUGCAGCACUCACAGUGGUUUUUUUCUUUAGGAUAAAGGAAGAAUCCAGUGUUAUUUCGUUUGACAGAUACUGGCAACUUUGGGGAUACAGUCAGUCUUUAUAUUACUUUAUUACAGUUCAAUGAAAGGGAGUAGAAUCUUGAUUUUAACUCAGUUUUAUAUUCUUCCACUGGUCCCAGCAAUGAAGGAUGGUAGGCUCUGGGGACUGUGCAGUGAUCACUGAUAAAGCAAAAAAGAUAUUACAACAAGGAUUAAAGAUUAUAUUCAGUCUAGAGCUGGAGCAUUUCUUAACUCUAAAAUGGAGACAAGUCAGGGUUUUGAAAUAUUAUUGCAGAAGGGGAUGAGGCAACCAAUUACAGCUCUCUUCACCCUCACAGGAGAAAAAGAAACUGUGGCUCAGAGACAUUCAGUAACCUUCCCAAAUUCUCCCAGUGAAUUAGCCGCUGAGCGGGGACUUGAACCCAGCUCUGAUUGGAGGCCCCUUGGCAGCACGCUCGGCUGCUUCAUCCCAGCAGCUUCCCAUAAAUACACAAAGUUCAUAGAGUCUGUUCACAACAACAACUAUGCAGAUAUUUCUAUUUUAAAAGUUGUGAGCAGAGAGUUGUGCUACUUCAGCAAGCAAGUCCUAAGGGUUCAGUGUAUACUGAGAUGGUGAGUGCUGGAGUCAAAUAAAGCAUUAAUUUGACAAUUUUUCAGUACUCUGCCUAGCCGUUAUUUUGCCAAGAAGAUCAGUCAGUGUAUCUGGGAAAUCAUACAUAAAUGUUAGGUAAUUCAUUUAUUACUUUUACAAAAACAAGACUUAAAAAAAUAGUUUCUUCUUACUUUGUUGGUGUAUUUAUUUAUUUAUUUAUUUAGUUAGUUAUUCAUUCAUUCAUUCAUUCAUUCAUUCAUUUUUGAAACAGAGCAUGAGCAGGGGAGGGUCAGGGACAGAGAAGGACAGAUGAUCCAAAGCGGGCUAUGCGCUGACAGCAGAGAGCCAAAAGUGGAGCUCAAACUCAAGAACCGCGAGAUCACGACCAAAGCCGAAGUCGGACGCUCAACUGAGCCAUUCAGGUGCCAUUUUUAUAUAUUUUUAAUCAAGGUGAGCCUCUAUCAUUUUAUUUGAUUUAUCCUAGUUCUCCUCUCCUACCCUCUAUCCAACUCCUCCCUCCCCUCAUACCAACACACUCACAUAUUAGAGGACCAUUUAGGACCACUGACUGAAUCCCUUGUAUGGUUGGCAUUGUUUGUGACCCACUCCUCGCUAUGACCCCAGUGAGGCUUCCUGGGUGCCCCCCCUGGAGCCCACCCCCACCCCC
rnacentral:lncRNA from 1 species